UUAAUUUAGUUUUGGGGUUCUACCCAAAACCCAACCUCCAUGAUAUAAACAAAUAUAUAGCAUCACCUACCUGUUCUCUGCAAAUAGCUUGAAGCCAAAAUGGUACGGAGCUUAUACCCGCAUCCCGAUGUUGUUUUAUACGAAGGCCCAAAACGGCCUAGUAUCGUUGAGACAAUUGAAGAAGUUGUCGCAAAUGUGGUCGGUAUCUUGAGGUUUAUCAUCGACGAGUAUUUGAUGUAUCAAGAGGACAAUACAGGAAACGAUUUAGAUGAGGAUUCAAACCGUCUUCGAAUAAGGAAAUUAGAAGGGGAACAUAUUCAAGAAACUCUUAGGCGCAUCUUCUUCUCUCCAUUAACAAGGAAAAUGAUAUUUAUCUUAUCAUGUGUUGCAGUGUCAAUAGAUCCUCUCUUCUUUUACAUUCCAAUCAUCAAUGAGGAGAAAAAGUGUCUUGGAAUAGACAAAAAUUUGAGGGCUGCAGCUCUUUGUUUGCGAGCACUUCCUGAUGCCGCUUUUGUACUGCAUACUAUAAGUUCUGGGUUUAGGUUGUACCCGAACGUGGACCUCUACUUCGUAGAUUUGCUUUACUACAGCUUUGUGAGUUUACUAGUUGCCGUUUUCCUUAUCCUUCCCAUCCCACAGUUGGCAAUAGUAGUUUUCUUUUUCAAGUCAGGAGGCUCUGGACAUUUCGGCCAAAGAGUGACCGUGAACAUCUUCCUUUUUAUCUAUUAUGUGGCAAGGGUUUUCCUAAUCUUCAUAUAUAGUCAGAAUCUCAAAUACAAGACCGGAAAAUGGGUUCGAGCUUCAUUCAAUUUUCUUUUAUACAUCAUUGCCAGUAAUGUAGUUGGAGGCUUUUGGUACUUCUUUUCUAUUCAACGAGAGAUAUCAUGUUGGGACCAAUCUUGUAGAAAUGGUAUAGGAUGUGGUGGACCUACUUAUUAUUGCAGUGGCAGCACUUCACGAGAUAUCACAUUCCUAAAUGAGUUAUGCCCUAUAAAUCCACAGAAUACUACAAUAUUUAAUUUUGGAAUAUUUUUUGAUGCUAUUCAAUCUGGAAGCACGAGGUCAAUACAUUUUCCAACCAAGUUCUUUUACUGUAUAUGGUGGGGCGUCAAAAAUCUAAGGUUUGCAUAUAUGCCUGUUAAGCUAUUGGCAAUUCAUUCAGAAAUAGAUCCUUGCAACUCUGAUAAUAGUCUACACAAAAACUCAUCUACUUCCACUUCUUGAUUAUAAUCUUAUAUUUUAAAUGCUUGAUUGAUUAUUGCUGUGACUUCGGCACGAAUCUGGAAACAAGUAGCUAUGUGUGGGAAAACUGCUUUGCAGUUAUAACUUCUAUCAUUGGCAUGCUACUAUUUUUUUACCUCCUUGGAAACGUACAGAUAUAUAUGCAGCAGGCAAUGAAUAAAUCGUUGGCUGACGAGGAUAAAGCUGAGGACUUAAGACCCAAGAUAGUUGAGAGAAAUAGGGCUAUAAAAAUGUGGAUGGAAAAAUUUGCCCUGCCUGAUGAUUUGAAGAAAACUAUUAUGGGUUUAAUAAGUCGAAAUUUGGAAGGAAAGUUAGAUGGUAAAGGAACUUCAAACUAUGGGAAAGGAAGAGUUGGAAACGAUCUCCGAGGAUCUGCAGCCAAAGAUCUUCCAGGAGAAUG